UACGAAGGGGGCUAGCGUUGCUCGGAAUCACUGGGCGUAAAGGGUGCGUAGGCGGGUCUUUAAGUCAGGGGUGAAAUCCUGGAGCUCAACUCCAGAACUGCCUUUGAUACUGAGGAUCUUGAGUCCGGGAGAGGUGAGUGGAACUGCGAGUGUAGAGGUGAAAUUUGUAGAUAUUCGCAAGAACACCAGUGGCGAAGGCGGCUCACUGGCCCGGUACUGACGCUGAGGCACGAAAGCGUGGGGAGCAAACAGG
rnacentral:rRNA from 1 species